rnacentral:rRNA from 1 species
UGGGGAAUUUUUGUCAAUGGGGGAAACCCUGAACAAGCAACGCCGCGUGGAGGACGAAGGCCUUCGGGUUGUAAACUCCUGUCGGAGGGGACGAAGGCGAUCGAGAUCAAUACCCUCGGUCGUUGACGGUACCCUACGAGGAAGCCCCGGCUAACUCCGUGCCAGCAGCCGCGGUAAUACAGAGGGUGCGAGCGUUAAUCGGAAUUACUGGGCGUAAAGCGCGCGUAGGCGGCUUUGCAAGUCGAUUGUGAAAUCCCCGGGCUCAACCUGGGAACUGCAUUCGAGACUGCAUUGCUAGAGUAUGGGAGAGGGAAGUGGAAUUUCAGGUGUAGCGGUGAAAUGCGUAGAUAUCUGAAGGAACAUCAGUGGCGAAAGCGACUUCCUGGACCAAUACUGACGCUCAUGUGCGAAAGCGUGGGGAGCAA